rnacentral:rRNA from 1 species
UACGAGUGCCCCAAGCGUUAUCCGGAAUUAUUGGGCGUAAAGGGUGCGUAGGUGGUUCUAUUAGUCUUCUGUUAAAGCUCUCGGCUCAACCGGGAAAAUGCAGGGGAAACGGUAGAACUAGAGGAUGCGAGAGGUCUGUGGAACUCAUAGUGUAGGGGUAAAAUCCGUUGAUAUUAUGGGGAACACCAAAAGCGAAGGCAGCAGACUGGCGCACUCCUGACACUGAAACACGAAAGCGUGGGUAGCGAAUGGG